AAAAGUCACGCGUCUCCCGCCAGAAAAUGGCUACUCACUCCAAGCUCGGGAAGGUCAGCCUCCUCUAACUUUUAAACACGUGGAGCUGUCCCGGUUCGACAAAGAGUCCAGUGAGACGUUCCAGUCGGCCAUGUCAGUGAUCAUGAGCUGUGUGAACAGUAUUGUGAUCGGCAGUAGCAAUGCAGCAUUUCGCUCUGCUUGUCUAAAGAGCAUGAAGGACUGCCUGGUAAGAGAGCUCACAGAGAUAAAGAGCAGUCACCAUUAAUCUCUAAGAGACAGUGUCCAGACACCACUGCAGGAGAUUCAAAAGCCUCUACGAGCGGAUUGUGGGAAAAUCUGCCAAGUCCAAUGACGGCCAUGUUUUGUGAAGGACCGGGUGAAGAAAUGUGUUUAGAGGCAACUUCAUCCGGCCUUCCAUGUAAUACUGAAAAGAAAAAUCAAGAGGUUGAGAGGGAAUGGCUUCAUGAUCUUAAAAAUCUGACUGAGUGGGAUUAAAGCAAGGAGUUCAGAAGAGCUACCAGUUGCAUUUUAUAUUCAUGUAAUACACUGUUCAACAUGUUUACUGUGUUCCUUCAGAAUAUAAUAGUAUGACCCUCGCCACUGAAGAACAAGGAAUUAAUGAUUCAAGUAUUAGAUGUAGAUUCAGUCUUUACCACAAGAUGGCGCCAACACACCAGCACCUACUGUAUGUUUUGUAUGGCGUGACUCUGAACUGUUCUUUCUUGUUUUUUAUUAUUUUAU